CUACCAUGCAGUCGAACGAUGACUUUUGUGCUUGCACAAGAUGAUUAGUGGCGAACGGGUGAGUAACACGUGAGUAACCUGCCCCUGACUUCGGGAUAAGCCUGGGAAACUGGGUCUAAUACCGGAUAUGCACCGUGGACCGCAUGGUCCUUGGUGGAAAGACUUGUUGGUCAGGGAUGGACUCGCGGCCUAUCAGCUUGUUGGUGAGGUAAUGGCUCACCAAGGCGACGACGGGUAGCCGGCCUGAGAGGGUGACCGGCCACACUGGGACUGAGACACGGCCCAGACUCCUACGGGAGGCAGCAGUGGGGAAUAUUGCACAAUGGGCGAAAGCCUGAUGCAGCGACGCCGCGUGAGGGAUGACGGCCUUCGGGUUGUAAACCUCUUUCAGUAGGGAAGAAGCGAAAGUGACGGUACCUGCAGAAGAAGCGCCGGCUAACUACAUGCCAGC
rnacentral:rRNA from 1 species